GUGAGACUGAGUCGUACAAUCAUCGUUCGAGUGUGGUACAUCUGACGGUGGCGGCGCGGCUGCUUAGAGUAUUUUUUGUGUGUUCCUUUUCUUUUAGAUGAUGCCGCGCUUCGGGCAACAGCACGAACAAAGGAAACAGUACGACAUCAAAGAUGAUGUCGAUCUGUAGAGGGCACCAUAUGAAAUGUGGUACAAAAACACACACCAAAAUAUGUUAUACGUGAGAAUGAUGCCCUUUGAAGCCUAAACUUUGUAUACUCUUUACCAAACUUUUUUUAUUUUACAAUACCAAAUAAUAAAAAAAAGGCAAAAAAUUUAAUUAAAUUAA